AUUUGCUCUGUAAGGACUGCUUCCAGGGCUUGAUACAGGAGCUAGGGCAGAUUGCCAAGGCUCAUGAGACUGUUGCAGAUGCCACAGCCUAGCUGAGAUUCUCCCCAGCAACUAGGAAGAUGGGUCUGCGUCACCUCUCAGGUACUGAGGAGACCAGCUGGGCAAGAUCUUCAAAAGCUAAUGAUGGGGACCAGAGCAAAGACAUAUGAACAGGUAUUUAAAAUGCAAUGUGAUAUUCGUUGUACUGGAAGGAUGUUCAGGGUGCUGCGGGAACCCAGAAGAGGGACUAAUUAACUCAUCCCGGGGGAAAUUAAUCCUGCUGCUCAAAGGUGGAACAUUUGAACAGAGCUCAUCUCCUGUCCUGGGUGUGAACGAGUAUAUCUUACCAGGGAUGUAACUGAACAUUUUUUUCUGCAUUGUGUUCCUACUGAGCAACCCAAGAUGGCCAGGAACUGCUCUGAGUGCAAGGAGAAGAGGGCAGCACAUAUCCUCUGCACCUACUGCAAUCGCUGGCUGUGCAGCUCUUGCACAGAGGAACACCGACACAGCCCUGUCCCCGGGGGCCCAUUCUUUCCUCGGGCCCAGAAGGGAUCUCCAGGAGUGAAUGGUGGUCCCGGAGACUUCACCUUGUAUUGUCCUCUACACACACAGGAAGUACUCAAGCUAUUCUGUGAGACAUGUGAUAUGCUCACUUGCCAUAGCUGCCUAGUGGUGGAACACAAAGAACACAGGUGCAGACAUGUUGAAGAAGUUUUGCAAAACCAGAGGAUGCUUCUGGAAGGUGUGACUACACAGGUGGCACAUAAGAAAUCCAGUCUACAGACAUCUGCAAAGCAAAUUGAGGACAGGAUUUUUGAAGUGAAGCAUCAGCAUAGGAAGGUGGAAAACCAGAUCAAAAUGGCCAAGAUGGUUCUGAUGAAUGAGCUGAACAAACAGGCCAAUGGGCUAAUAGAGGAAUUAGAGGGGAUUACUAAUGAGAGAAAGCGGAAGCUGGAACAGCAGUUACAGAGCAUCAUGGUUCUCAACCGUCAGUUUGAGCAUGUGCAGAAUUUCAUCAACUGGGCUGUCUGCAGCAAAACCAGUGUCCCUUUUCUUUUCAGCAAAGAGCUGGAGGUGAUAAUAAGAGGGUUAAAACAUUGGUAAGUAGCACCAAAGUAAAGAUUUUAAAUAGUCAUUGAGUGCAGUGGAAGAGAAAGAUGACAAGAAAAGA
rnacentral:sRNA from 1 species